GACGAACCGUGCGAACGUUGUUCGGAAUCACUGGGCUUAAAGGGCGCGUAGGCGGGCUCACAAGUCAGGGGUGAAAUCCCACGGCUCAACCGUGGAAGUGCCUUUGAUACUGUGGGGCUUGAGGGAGGUAGGGGCGUGCGGAACUUCCGGUGGAGCGGUGAAAUGCGUAGAUAUCCGGAGGAACACCGAAGGCGAAGGCAGUGUCCUGGGGAGUACCUGACGCUCAGGUGCGAAAGCCAGGGGAGCGAACCGGG
rnacentral:rRNA from 1 species